rnacentral:rRNA from 1 species
GGAUGGAUAGAAGAACCCCUGAUGCCGUCGAGCCAAGAAAAGUUUCUAAGUUUAGCUAAUGUUGCCCGUACCGUAAACCGACACAGGUGGGUGGGAUGAGUAUUCUAAGGCGCGUGGAAGAACUCUCUUUAAGGAACUCUGCAAAAUAGCACCGUAUCUUCGGUAUAAGGUGUGGUUCGCUUCGUAUUAGGAUUUACUCCGAAAGCGAAGAAACUUACAACAAAGAGUCCCUCCCGACUGUUUACCAAAAACACAGCACUCUGCUAACUCGUAAGAGGAUGUAUAGGGUGUGACGCCUGCCCGGUGCUCGAAGGUUAAUUGAUGGGGUUAGCAUUAGCGAAGCUCUUGAUCGAAGCCCGAGUAAACGGCGGCCGUAACUAUAACGGUCCUAAGGUAGCGAAAUUCCUUGUCGGUUAAAUACCGACCUGCAUGAAUGGCGUAACGAGAUGGGAGCUGUCUCAAAGAGGGAUCCAGUGAAAUUGUAGUGGAGGUGAAAAUUCCUCCUACCCGCGGCAAGACGGAAAGACCCCGUGGACCUUUACUACAGCUUGACACUGCUAUUUGGAUAAGAAUGUGCAGGAUAGGUGGGAGGCUUUGAGUAUAUGACGCCAGUUGUAUAUGAGCCAUUGUUGAGAUACCACUCUUUCUUAUUUGGGUAGCUAACCAGCUUGAGUUAUCCUCAAGUGGGACAAUGUCUGGUGGGUAGUUUGACUGGGGCGGUCGCCUCCCAAAUAAUAACGGAGGCUUACAAAGGUUGGCUCAGAACGGUUGGAAAUCGUUCGUAGAGUAUAAAGGUAUAAGCCAGCUUAACUGCAAGACAUACAAGUCAAGCAGAGACGAAAGUCGGUCUUAGUGAUCCGGUGGUUCUGUGUGGAAGGGCCAUCGCUCAAAGGAUAAAAGGUACCCCGGGGAUAACAGGCUGAUCUCCCCCAAGAGCUCACAUCGACGGGGAGGUUUGGCACCUCGAUGUCGGCUCAUCGCAUCCUGGGGCUGGAGCAGGUCCCAAGGGUAUGGCUGUUCGCCAUUUAAAGCGGUACGCGAGCUGGGUUCAGAACGUCGUGAGACAGUUCGGUCCCUAUCUGCCGUGGGCGUAAGAAGAUUGAAGAGAUUUGACCCUAGUACGAGAGGACCGGGUUGAACAAACCACUGGUGUAGCUGUUGUUCUGCCAAGAGCAUCGCAGCGUAGCUAAGUUUGGAAAGGAUAAACGCUGAAAGCAUCUAAGCGUGAAGCCAACUCUAAGAUGAAUCUUCUCUAAGCUCUCUAGAAGACUACUAGUUUGAUAGGCUGGGUGUGUAAUGGAUGAAAGUCCUUUAGCUGACCAGUACUAAUAGAGCGUUUGGCUUAUCUUUAAUAAAGCAU